rnacentral:rRNA from 1 species
AUUGAACGCUGGCGGCAGGCCUAACACAUGCAAGUCGAACGAGUGGGGGAGGGGUGAGUAGUGUCUGGGACACUGCGUGAUGGAGGGGGAUAACUACUGGAAGGGGUAGCAAAUACCGCAAACCCACAUGUGUGCACAGAUGGGAUUAGCUUGUUGGGGGGGAAACGGCUCACCAAGGCGACGAUCCCUAGCUGGUCCGAGAGGAUGACCAGCAACACUGGAACUGAGACACGGUCCAGACUCCUACGGGAGGCAGCAGUGGGGAAUAUUGCACAAUGGGCGCAAGCCUGAUGCAGCCAUGCCGCGUGUAUGAAGAAGGCCUUCGGGUUGUAAAGUACUUUCAGCGGGGAGGCGUUACCCGCAGAAGAAGCACCGGCUAACUCCGUGCCAGCAGCCGCGGUAAUUC